rnacentral:piRNA from 1 species
UGAAAAUGAAAUUUGAGGUGGAGUUAAU